rnacentral:rRNA from 1 species
CGAGCGGCGAACGGGUGAGUAACACGUGGGUGAUCUGCCUUGCACUUCGGGAUAAGCCUGGGAAACUGGGUCUAAUACCGGAUAUGACCCCGGAAUGCAUGUUCUGGGGUGGAAAGAUUUAUCGGUGCGAGAUGGGCCCGCGGCCUAUCAGCUUGUUGGUGAGGUAACGGCUCACCAAGGCGACGACGGGUAGCCGACCUGAGAGGGUGACCGGCCACACUGGGACUGAGACACGGCCCAGACUCCUACGGGAGGCAGCAGUGGGGAAUAUUGCACAAUGGGCGCAAGCCUGAUGCAGCGACGCCGCGUGCGGGAUGACGGCCUUCGGGUUGUAAACCGCUUUUGACAGGGACGAAGCGCAAGUGACUGUACCUGUAGAAUAAGGACCGGCCAACUACGUGCCAGCAGCCGCGGUAAUACGUAGGGUCCGAGCGUUGUCCGGAAUUACUGGGCGUAAAGAGCUUGUAGGCGGUUCGUCGCGUCGUUUGUGAAAACUUGGGGCUCAACCUUAAGCUUGCAGGCGAUACGGGCGGACUAGAGUACUUCAGGGGAGACUGGAAUUCCUGGUGUAGCGGUGAAAUGCGCAGAUAUCAGGAGGAACACCGGUGGCGAAGGCGGGUCUCUGGGAAGUAACUGACGCUGAGAAGCGAAAGCAUGGGUAGCAAACAGGAUUAGAUACCCUGGUAGUCCAUGCCGUAAACGGUGGGUACUAGGUGUGGGGCUCCUUCCACGGACUCCGUGCCGUAGCUAACGCAUUAAGUACCCCGCCUGGGGAGUACGGCCGCAAGGCUAAAACUCAAAGAAAUUGACGGGGGCCCGCACAAGCGGCGGAGCAUGUGGAUUAAUUCGAUGCAACGCGAAGAACCUUACCUGGGUUUGACAUACACCGGAAACCUGCAGAGAUGUAGGCCCCCUUGUGGUCGGUGUACAGGUGGUGCAUGGCUGUCGUCAGCUCGUGUCGUGAGAUGUUGGGUUAAGUCCCGCAACGAGCGCAACCCUUAUCUUAUGUUGCCAGCGCGUAAUGGCGGGGACUCGUGAGAGACUGCCGGGGUCAACUCGGAGGAAGGUGGGGACGACGUCAAGUCAUCAUGCCCCUUAUGUCCAGGGCUUCACACAUGCUACAAUGGCCGGUACAGAGGGCUGCGAUACCGCGAGGUGGAGCGAAUCCCUUAAAGCCGGUCUCAGUUCGGAUCGGGGUCUGCAACUCGACCCCGUGAAGUUGGAGUCGCUAGUAAUCGCAGAUCAGCAACGCUGCGGUGAAUACGUUCCCGGGCCUUGUACACACCGCCCGUC